AUGGAGGUGGCCAUAAGUAAUGUGAUGCCCGACACAGCUCACCGAUGGUGCAAGUGGCAUGUGCUAAAGAAGGCAAAAGAGUCACUUGGUCCAUUGUAUUCAAAAAAUAGUGACUUCCGGCCCGAGUUCCACAAGGUUGUCAAUCACAUGUUAACCAUAGAGGAGUUUGAGGAGGGAUGGAAAUACCUAAUAGAGAAAUACAAUCUGAAGAGUCAUGAUUACAUGACAAAUUUGUAUGAGAUAAGGCACAAAUGGGCGAAGCCUUUCUUCAAAGGCGUGUUCUGCGCAAAAAUGACUAGCACACAAUGGAGUGAAAGUGCUAACCACAUGUUAAAGAACUAUGUGCCGCCUGGGAGCCCAAUGCAUAUAUUUGUAAGGAAGUAUAUGAGCUUAAUAUUUGACAGGGAGGCAGAAGAGAAUUAUGAGGAGAAGCGUACGACAAUAGGGAGGCCACUCAUGCGAGCAAAUUUGGCUACAGAGAGGCAUGCUGGGAAAAUAUACACU
rnacentral:rRNA from 1 species